rnacentral:tRNA from 1 species
GCGCCGGUGGUGUAAGGCGAACAUCGCUGGUCGGAAAGCAGGAGAUGCGGGUUCGAGACCCGCCUGGCGCA